CUUUACAUACUGAAGAACCCACAGACAUACCUCAACUACAAGAUCUGUCUGGCGGAGGUGUACCAGGACAAGCCGCUGAUUGCGAAACUACAGGGAAGGAAACACGACCCCAACGACCCCAAGGAAUGUUCUACAGUGUUCCGUGAGUU